rnacentral:rRNA from 1 species
UGGGGAAUAUUGCACAAUGGGGGAAACCCUGAUGCAGCGACGCCGCGUGAACGAAGAAGGUAUUCGUAUCGUAAAGUUCUGUCCUAUGGGAAGAUAAUGACAGUACCAUAGAAGAAAGCUCCGGCUAAAUACGUGCCAGCAGCCGCGGUAAUACGUAUGGAGGGAGCGUUGUCCGGAAUUAUUGGGCGUAAAGGGUAUGCAGGCGGUUUAAUAAGUCGAAUGUUAAAGAUCGGGGCUCAACCCCGCAAAGCAUUGGAAACUGAUAAUCUUGAGUAGUGGAGAGGAAGGUGGAAUUCCAAGUGUAAUGGUGAAAUUCGUAGAUAUUAGGAGGAAUACCAGUAGCGAAGGCGACUUUCUGGACACAAACUGACGCUGAGGUACGAAAGCGUGGGGAGCAAACAGG